GAAACUGUGCAUCCUUACUGAUCCGAGGUCACCUAAGGAAAAAAAGGUUGGAGAGGGCAAAGGCCCCGGCCCGACCUACUGAGCGGGUGACAAAGCCCCAUACGCUCGAGGACCGGACGCGGCGCCGCCACUGCCUUUCGGGCCCGUCCCCGUUGCCCGGAGGCGCAGGGGACGGCGGCCCAACACACAAGCCGCGCUUGAGGGGCAGUAAUGACGCUCGGACAGGCAUGCCCCCCGGAAUACCAGGGGGCGCAAUGUGCGUUCAAAGAUUCGAUGAUUCACUGAAUUCUGCAAUUCACAUUACUUAUCGCAUUUCGCUGCGUUCUUCAUCGAUGCCGGAACCAAGAGAUCCGUUGUUGAAAGUUUUAACCGAUUUGGUAUGUUUACUCAGACAGCAAUCCUUUUCAAAGACAGCGUUCGAGAAGAUGUCUCCGGCGGGCCGCAGGGGAGGUCGGUAAGGCGCCUUUGGGCUCUACAACCUUUUUUGCAUUAUGUUGACCUCGGAUCAGGUAGGGAUACCCGCUGAACUUAAGCAUAUCUAUAAGACGGAAGAAAGGCCCCUUUUUUCGGGAAUAAACUAUAACUUUCAAUAUUAAACCUAAUUACAAUAAACGUAUGAAACACCGGGGUAAUGCCGAAGGAUUUU
rnacentral:misc_RNA from 1 species